ensembl:snRNA U6 U6 spliceosomal RNA
GUGUUUGCUUUGGCAGCACAUAUGCUAAAUUUGGAACAAUACAGAGAAGAUAAGUAUGGUCCCUGUGCAAGGAUGGCAUGCAGGUGUGUGAAGGGUUCCAUAUUUUU